UACGGGGGGAGCAAGCGUUGUUCGGAUUUACUGGGCGUAAAGGGCGCGUAGGCGGUCAGCACAAGUCAGUUGUGAAAUCUCCGGGCUUAACUCGGAAAGGUCAACUGAUACUGUGCGACUAGAGUGCGGAAGGGGCAACUGGAAUUCUCGGUGUAGCGGUGAAAUGCGUAGAUAUCGAGAGGAACACCUGCGGCGAAGGCGGCUCUCUGGGACGGUACUGACGCUGAGACG
rnacentral:rRNA from 1 species